rnacentral:snoRNA from 1 species
AUUUUCUGCUCUAUCUUCAAAAAUGAAGGGAAGGUGGGGUCACUGUGAUGAGGAACACAAAACUCAUGGCCUCCCUAUGAACAAAUGCCCUACAUGU